GCCUACGGCCACAGCGCCCGAUCCCGUCCGAUCUCGCAAGCUAAGCAGGACCGGGCCUGGUUAGUACUUGGACGGGAGACCGCCUGGGAAUACCAGGUGCUGUAGGCU
rnacentral:rRNA from 12 species